UUCAUUUCCCUAUCCGCUACCUCGUCGUUCACUUCAACAUGGCGGUUUCACCUUACGCCGCCGUUUCAACCCCUCGUGUUUGUUCUCCACCUAGUGUUUCCACUAAAAUCUACUCUGGAUUGAAACUCCAAUCUUCACGUUCUUUUGGAGCGUCUUCCGUUUCAUCUAGCGUAAAUGCUCAGUUUUUCGGUAAAGUUAACAAAGUUCUCAGUUUCUGGUA